rnacentral:lncRNA from 1 species
GCAAAUCGAGAUUAAUAUGACAAAAAUUAUCAUGUUUCUGUACGCUAUGAUUUUAUUUUUUACCCUCUUUCAAAUUGUAAAUAGUGCUGGCGGUAAGACAUUUUUUCAAAAAAAAAUUUCUUUUGUAUUUUCUACACAAUCUUUUAUCUCAUUUUAGAUUUGAUGUGUUCACUGGUAUAAGAGAAAAAUGAAAAAAAUUGAGAAGAGAGAAGUGUAAAUUGUUUUUGAAAGUACAAAAAUGCCCUUGUAUUAAAAGUACAUUCACAAAAAUUAAUUUAAUUUUUUUUUUCAAUUCAUUGUUUAAUUCAAGGGCAUAGAGAAUUUUUUAAGCAUUUUUGCACAUUCUUUCCUCUUUCUUCUCACUUUAGAGGAGUUCAGAAAACAAAAAAGGUACUGUAUGAGACCCACCAAAUAUUCUUUCCUCUUCUCAAUUUCUCUUCUUGCCAAACAAGAGAAAUUUCCAACUUCUCUUCUCUUUCUCUCUUCUCUAUCUCUCUCUUCUUUAUUUCUCUCAAAUCAAACAAAGCCUUAGCCAAUUAUUUUUUUUAGAAAUAUUUUAAAUAUUUAUAUUAAAUGAAAUAUCAACUAUUGACUACUUUUCAAGACACUAUGUGAGGAACUCAAGUUGUAAGGUUACGACUGCUGAGAUUAGAUUAGAAAACAAAAUGUAAGAUGUGAACUUUUCCACAAUUAGUAAUUUUUGUUAAAAAUGCAAGUGAAGUUAACAAAAAAAAUAUGACUAAGAUUCAAGAAAGUGAGUGACAUUGAGAAAGAGUGAUAAAGAGAGGUGAGAGCCAACGCCACAUACCAAGACACCACAUACCAAGGUGACUCCAGCCAUCACCUAAGGGCCAACCUUAUUAACCCCAUAAACAACUUGCCUCCCCCAGUUAGUGACUUUGUCUUACUCCCUUUAUAUUAGCUUUGGGUAAACAAUCAUCAUUUUAGUAAUUUAGUCCUUAAAUUUAUUUCAAGUUGCAAACAUAUUCACAAUUAUCUUUUUUUAUUAGUUAUUUGAUCAUUAAUUUUUUUUAAGUUGUCAAUUUAAUUUUCGAGUAUAUUUUUUAUUAAUCAUUUUUGUUCAUAAAAUUAGAAAUAAAAGAGAGAUUAAAAAUAUGUACUAUAUUAUGUUUAUAAUUUCGAUACAUUCAUAAACUAUAGCGACAAUACCUCAGAUGUUCAGAGAUUAAAAUGGUUGUUACUCGUUGCAUUCAAAAUAUUUAUUUGUUUUAUAUUAUUUGACAUUAAUAUCAAUUAAGUAUUAAAUAAAUUUAUUCACUAAAAUAUUUAUGGCUUAAUUACUGUUUUAGUCCUCUAAUCAACUUUUCACACUUAAAAAAUGGUGGCAUUAAGUUGAAAUUUAAGUUUUUAAUAGUAGUUUUUUGUUGUAUUAUUAUGAGUGUUGACCACUCCACAUCAUUGGAUCGAAUGCUGGAUUUUUAAAAAUAUGUCAAAUCAUAAUUUUUUUUGUAUAAAAAUAUGAUAGAAAGAUUAAAAUUAUGUGAUUUUAAAAUAGGGGAACUAAUUUUAUGAAUCAGUAAAUAUAGUGAGAUCCAAAAUUGUAAUUAAGCCAAAUAUUUAUUGUAUUUCAAUAUACAUUUAUUCAUUAAAAAGGACACCAAUAUGGACUCGGUUCAAAGGUGUACCUUACUAUUUUUAAUAAAUGUUAUGUAAUUUUUAUGGACUAAAUUGCAAACAUAUCCUAAAUGCCUUUUUUUUUAGCAUUUUUAUGUACUAAAUUGACAAUUAAAAAAAAUUGAGAAUUAAUUUUUGAAUAGCUAAAUAUAUAUUUGUGGAACAAAAUAAUUAAUAAAUAAAAUAUUUAUGAAUGUGUUUACAGGAUUAUAAUGAUAACUCAUCACAUAUAAAGAUAGUAAUGUAGCAACAUUACAUGAUAAUACAGGAUAAACAAGACAAAGUUUAACGUAUCGAAUAAAUUUUAUUUUGUAUGAUAUUUGAUGGACAAAAUGUUAUUUUAGACAACUUGUGUAAAACACGUAAAGUUGUCUCGUGAUUCAGUAAAUGAUAGGAAUUUCAGUUUUUGGUCAAUCUUUUAGCCCCUAGUUUGUCCAAUCUCAUAUAUAGUUUUAAAAUUAAACAAUUGAAAUUAUUAGAUAUACAAUCUUUUAUAUUUUAACAGAUCAAAUGCACCUUAUAUAAAUUUUAACAAAACUAUUUUAUUAACAAAUUUAAUUUAAAAGUAGUUUUCUUAACUUUUGUGCUUUACCUCAACAUUUGUUUAAUAUAAAUGACUUAAAUGUAAAAAAAAAUAAAGGACUAACAUGUUACAAAUAAAUAAGAUAAAUGAUCUCUUUGUGUAAUUUUGCCAAUAAAUAUCCUAGAUCUCCAUUUUCUAUUAUCGCUAUUUCUUCCAUUUAUAAAGUUUUUAAGUAUUUUGGAAUGGAUAAAAAAUAUUAGACAUAUUGAGGAAAUAAAAAGGAUGUAAAAUCAUUUUUCUGUCCAUAUUAUUGUUGCCAAAUUGUAAACCACAACCUCCCUUUGUUUCAGUUCCUUGUUUUGGUACGGGUUUCUUGGCUGUUGGGUGAACGAUGCGCCACUUCCCACUUGCAAUAUUGUCCCCUAUAUUUACAAUCUACCCCUUCGUUCUUUCUAAUUAUUAGUUU